GAUGUUGCUGUAUAGUUGUGAGAUUAAGUUGUGUUAAUUGUCAUAGGUUCGUAUAGUUAUUGUGGGUUGAAUCGGGCAUGAAAUUGGGCAUGAAAUUGGGCUGUGUAAUUAUUAAUAGAACUGUACACUGAAUUAAGUUGAACAAACAGGAAACACAUUUGAUUGCGAUGAUAAGAAAUGUGAAUUGAUUUGAACAAACUGCUGAAUUUGUACAUUGAAUUGCCAUGGUUAUUUACAUUAGUAAUUGUGAAUUGAAUUGAACUAACAGUUCUAAAGCGGAAAUGGAGGGAGGGUACAGGAAGCGUAAAACGUGCAGCACCCGGAGUGAUGAUGAGGAUGGAGUAGGACGAGGACCUACCCUGAAGAAGCUUUCUCCUGAGUUAAUCAAGGAUGAUUCUUUAACUCUGGGCGGCUGUGUGAAAAGGAAAGGCGAAGUGUUGCAAAGACAUGCGAAGGCAACAUCUAGGCCAGCUAAUACAAGUUGUCGCGUAGAGUCGUUUGGUAGAAUAUGUCAAAAGUUAGACCAACAAAGGAAGGGGUGGGUUUGUGAAAUGGGGUUUGACGGUCUCUUAAAAAUAGGAGAAAUUAACCUCCCAAGACAGUUGGCUUAUUGGUUGAUGACUCGUAUAGAUCCCUUCAAUUGUACUCUCACUAGCAGAGAGGGUAGAGUUUUCAAGCUUUCUCAAAAUCAAGUGCAUUGGGUUCUUGGCAUUCCCAAUGGUGGACUUCCUGUUCCCACUUACGAAACAAUGGGUAGUGAAAUGUUUGAAAGAGUGAAAAGUAUUAUGGAUAGGUAUGGUAAAACAUGGAAAACUAAGUCUUCUACAACUGGUCGUGAGUACAUAUUCGAGGGUAUUCAAGUUAAUGCUGAUUUGAUUGCCCGGGUUGAGGGACAAUGGGAGGAUGAUCAGGCGGAAGAGUUCAAGACUGUAUUCUUGUUGUUGGCGCUAGAGAUGUUGUUAUGUCCUAAUCAAUCAUCUAGAUUGGCUGCUGACUUAGUGCCAUCAUUAACGUGUGCGUCAAAGGCUGCUCAAUAUGACUGGUGCAGCCUAGUUUUGAAGAAGCUCAUGAAUAGUGUCGCGAUGUUUGCACGACGGUUUUACUCAAGUGGCUAUGCUAGUGGUUGUGCAGGUUGCCUAAUAUACAUUGUGAUUAUGUAUCUGGAUCGGCUAUACAGACAUCCUGUGCAGUGGGGUUUUUUCCCGCGUUAGGAGGUUUGGAAGAUGGAUGAGAUACGCAAAGCAGUUACGGAAGAUCGUUUCCCAAAUUCUGGUGAUUUUGGUAAACUUGGGGUAAGCAAAAGUCGUAAAGCUAUUUAUAUAUUAGUUAAACCAAGUGUGUGAUGGUUCUACUGUGGUUUGUUAUUGUAGACUUUGGAUGUUGCCUAUGGUGAAAUGCAUCCUAGUGAGGCAAGAGAUACCAAUGGGCCUGAGGGGUUAAAAAAGGUUCUUUGUAGUGGCAGUGCUAGUGUUUGUUACAAGAGGAAGGGAGCAAGAAAAAGCACCUCAAAAAAAUGGUCGAAUAUGCGGAAUGCUGCAUCUUUUAACACGGAUGAUUGUAAAGGGGAGAAAGCAAGUGCUAGAUCUAUUAACUCAGAUGAAUUUAAU